rnacentral:rRNA from 1 species
CCUACGGGGGGCUGCAGUGAGGAAUAUUGGACAAUGGGCGAAAGCCUGAUCCAGCAACGCCGCGUGGAGGAUGAAGGCCUUCGGGUCGUAAACUUCUUUAGAGGGAGACGAGAAAGGACGGUAUCCCUAGAAUAAGCGACGGCAAACUACGUGCCAGCAGCCGCGGUAACACGUAGGUCGCGAGCGUUAUCCGGAUUUACUGGGCGUAAAGCGCUUGUAGGCGGUUCUGUAAGUCGGGCGUGAAAUCUCCGGGCUUAACCCGGAGUGGCCGUUCGAUACUGCAGGGCUUGAGGAUGCUAGAGGGUGGUGGAAUUCCAGGUGUAGUGGUGAAAUGCGUAGAUAUCUGGAGGAACAUCCGUGGCGAAGGCGGCCACCUGGGGCAUUCCUGACGCUGAGAAGCGACAGCUAGGGGAUCAAACGGGAUUAGAUACCCCGGUAGUC